GUCGCACCUACCGAUUGAAUGAUCCGGUGAAGCCUCGGGAUUGUGGCCAGUUCGCUUUAUUGGGAGUUGGUUGCGAGAACUUGUCUAAACCUUAUCAUUUAGAGGAAGGUG
rnacentral:rRNA from 1 species